AAUCUCUUCCUCGUUCAACCAAAACCCCCCGUUUUCAAUAAGGAAAUCCUGGUCCUGGAUAAAUCCUAACUGCAACUUCAAGUCUCCAAGUCCAACUCCAACUCCAACUCCAACUCCAACUGAAUCAUGGAACUCACCCUCUUCUCUCACUACCAUUCCCAAUUUCUCUACAAAUCCACUUUUAGUAGAAACUUGAUACCCAAUACUAGAAAUUUGACGUUAUUAAAUUGCAGUUGCUCAUCUUCAUCAUCAUCAAAAGAUCCUGCAAAACCAACAACAUUAUCUUUGACUAAUGAUGGAAGAAGGGCAUUCAUGAGUUGUUUACUCAUAGCAGCUGGUGGGUUGUGUAUCACUGAUCUGGCUGGGGCUGUCAGCACAAGUAGAAGAGCUCUUAGAGGAGCAAAAAUACCUGAGACCGAAUUUACAACCCUUCCCAAUGGUCUAAAGUACUAUGACUUGAAGGUUGGAGGCGGGGCAGAAGCUGUAAAGGGAUCUCGUGUAGCAGUGCAUUAUGUUGCUAAAUGGAAGGGCAUCACUUUUAUGACUAGUAGGCAAGGGAUGGGAGUUGGCGGAGGAACGCCUUAUGGAUUUGACGUUGGCCAGUCAGAACGCGGCACAGUUCUUAAGGGGCUAGAUCUUGGUGUUCAAGGAAUGAAAGUGGGUGGCCAGAGAAUAUUGGUAGUUCCUCCAGAACUAGCAUAUGGGAAGAAAGGAAUCCAAGAAAUCCCUCCAAAUGCAACAAUUGAGAAAAAUAGGGCACAUAUUGGAACAAGUCAGCAGUAAACCUCCACUGCUUCAUAUCCGCAUAAUAGUGUCUGGCACGGGCAUACCAGUCAUAACUCAAUUCGACGUGGAACUAUUGUCAAUCAAGCAAAGUCCUUUCGGGUCUCCAGUAAAGCUCGUGGAAGGAUGAUAUGAUCCUAUUCGUGUAUGGACAACUAUUGUUCAAUUUCUUUGACUGCAAAUAUUGUUUCUUGCGGAUGAAGAUUCUUCUCAACUAUCCAACAUUUUUUGUCAGUUUAUCCUUGUAUAAUCUUCAAAUAUAUCAAGCGAUGUCAGAGUAAUAUCAAGCCAACAUUUGUAAUGUCUAUCCGCAAAAUGUUAUUCUCCAAGUUUGCAAGUGUUACCCAAGUACUUGUAGAUUAGAUAGAGUAAUAGAUUUGCAAGAAAUAAGCAUUGAUCAUUUUCAUGU